rnacentral:rRNA from 1 species
CCUACGGGAGGCAGCAGUGGGGAAUAUUGCACAAUGGGGGAAACCCUGAUGCAGCAACGCCGCGUGAGUGAAGAAGUAUUUCGGUAUGUCAUGCUCUAUCAGCAGGGAAGAAAAUGACGGUACCUGAGUAAGAAGCCCCGUCUAAAUACGUGCCAGCAGCCGCGGUAAUCAGUAGGGGGCACGCGUUAUCCGGAUUUACUGGGUGUACAGGGAGCGUAGACGGCGAUACAAGUCUGAUGUGAAUGCCGGGGGCGCAACCCCGGGACUGCUUUGGAAAGUGUGUUGCUGGAGUGCUGGAGAGCCAAGCGGAAUUCCUAGUGUAGCGGUGAAAUGCGUAGAUAGUAGGAAGAACACCAGUGGCGAAGGCGGCUUGCUGGACAGUAACUGACGUUGAGGCUCGAAAGCGUGGGGAGCAAACAGGAUUAGAUACCCGUGUAGUC